UACAGAGGCCCCAAGCGUUACUGAGAAUCACUGGGUUUAAAGGGUGCGUAGGUGGCGCGUUAAGUCCGUUGUGAAAUCCCCGGGCUCAACCCGGGAACUGCGUCCGAUACUGGCAGGCUUGAAUCCGGGAGAGGGAUGUGGAAUUCCAGGUGUAGCGGUGAAAUGCGUAGAUAUCUGGAGGAACACCGGUGGCGAAGGCGGCAUCCUGGACCGGUAUUGACGCUGAGGCGCGAAAGCCAGGGGAGCAAACGGG
rnacentral:rRNA from 1 species